GCCCUUCGAUAACGAACGAGACCUUAACCUACUAAAUAGCUCGAUUAGCAUUAGCUGAUUAUAAGCUUCUUAGAGGGACUAUCGAUUUCAAGUCGAUGGAAGUUUGAGGCAAUAACAGGUCUGUGAUGCCCUUAGACGUUCUGGGCCGCACGCGCGCUACACUGACGGAGCCAACGAGUAAAUAACCUUGGCCAAGAGGUUUGGGUAAUCUUGUUAAACUCCGUCGUGCUGGGGAUAGAGCAUUGCAAUUAUUGCUCUUCAACGAGGAAUUCCUAGUAAGCGCAAGUCAUCAGCUUGCGUUGAUUACGUCCCUGCCCUUUGUACACACCGCCCGUCGCUACUACCGAUUGAAUGGCUAAGGGC
rnacentral:rRNA from 1 species